ACACUGUAAAAAAAAUCUGUAAAAUAACAGUUAAAUGACUGUAUAUUUUAACAGAUUUUUUCCGUAUACACGUAUUACGGGUGUUUUUCCGUUUAUAUACAUUUUCGAAUUGCAUUGUGGGAAGGGGAUCGCAGCUCAGACAGCGUUUGAUGGACAUCGGGACAUAUUUCUUCCUCUGUUUUUUCCCUGUUGUUUGUCCGUAUUUUUCUAAACUGCCGUGCGCGGGAAGUGGCGUGACGUCCAAUCACCCACUCACUCCCUCUGCACCUGACUGGAUUAACGGUAAACGUCAGUUUGUCUGUAAGAGUGUAAAAGGUUCUUUCAUUUUGGUUAUAAGUACAUGUUACAGGUAAAUUCUUAGAUUCAAUCCAAACUGAAUUUGAAUUAAUACGGACAAAUGAAAUAAAAUACACCUGGGAUUUUAAAUGUUUUCAUUUUUUUAUUAUUCACAACGUUUGUGAAGUCUAAAUGUAGACUGUCUCAAACUGAAUGAGAGUUAUUUUUGAUGUAGGUGUGUUGGUGUAAAAAUUGAUGCUGACUGGUUAGUACUGCAUUUUUAACCAUAACAAUAAUGAUUUAUAUUUAGCAUUGCAUCUAUUGUCAUUUUACCAAGAAUGUGUUUGCUCUUUCAGAACUCAGGCAGUUGUGCUGGACCCUCUGUACCUUAUACAGGAGAUGACUGUAAACUUUCAAGUUUAAGAGGUGUGUUGGUGUAAAAAGUGAUGCUGACUGAACUCAGGCAUUUGUGCUGGACCCUCUGUACCUUAUACAGGAGAUGACGGUAAACUUUGAAGUUUAAGAGGUUCUGUAAUUUUGGUUAUAAGUACAAGGUGUGUUGGUGUAAAAAUUGAUGCUGACUGAACUCAGGCAGUUGUGCUGGACCAUCUGUACCUAAUACAGGGGAUGACAGUAAACUUCCAAGUUUAAGAGCCACCUGAUGAUGAGAGAGACAAUUUCAAUGUGGGCAUCUUGAUGAAGAAGAGUCCACAGUCACAAUAACAAGAUCAUUGAGCUGUCCCCUAAUUGUGGUGAGCUACAUGUUUAGUCUCUUAUGUGCUAAACAUUAUGUAGCCUAAGGAAGCAGCCCUGACUCUGGAGUUUAUAUGAAGGAGCAUGCUGAGUAACUAUCCAGAAUGUAGGUCCAUAGCAGAAAAAAGUGCACCAAGCAGAAACAUACCAUCUAAACUCCUUCGAUUCCUGUCAGACCAGAAAGACUUUCAGAAUCCUUGGAAGAUUUAAAGCCAUUGAAGUAUUAGUAUUGGAGCGGAAGAAGACCCAGUUGUAUCGUCUGUUUCCUGCCAUCUUGCAGUUAACCUGGUUUCUUAAUGUAAAGUACUUGUAAUUUGCCCACUUGUCCUCAAUUAUCUUAAAGCUAACAUUUAAAACUAAUUUGCUUUGAGAUUAUUUGCCAAGACUUCU